rnacentral:rRNA from 1 species
GCAAUAUGAAGGUCAGGCUGAAGACCUUACCGGAUUAGCUGAGAGGUGGUGCAUGGCCGUCGUCAGUUCGUACUGUGAAGCAUCCUGUUAAGUCAGGCAACGGGCGAGACCCACGUCCACAGUUGCCAGCAUACCCUCCGGGGUGAUGGGUACACUGUGGAGACCGCCGCUGCUAAAGCGGAGGAAGGAAUGGGCAACGGUAGGUCAGUAUGCCCCGAAUCUCCCGGGCUACACGCGGGCUACAAUGGUUGGUACAAUGGGCAUCUACCCCGAAAGGGGAAGGAAAUCUCUUAAAGCCAAUCGUAGUUCGGAUUGAGGGCUGCAACUCGCCCUCAUGAAGCUGGAAUCCGUAGUAAUCGCGUUUCAACAGAACGCGGUGAAUACGUCCCUGCUCCUU